rnacentral:misc_RNA from 1 species
GAUGAAGAACGCAGCGAAAUGCGAUACUUGGUGUGAAUUGCAGAAUCCCGUGAACCAUCGAGUCUUUGAACGCAAGUUGCGCCCGAAGCCACUAGGCCGAGGGCACGCCUGCCUGGGCGUCACACGCCGUUGCCCCCCCAUCUACUCCUUCGGGAUUGCGGGGGGGCGGAUGAUGGCCUCCUGUGCGCCUAGCCGCGCGGUUGGCAUAAAUACCAAGUCCUCGGCGACGCACGCCACGACAAUCGGUGGUUGCGAAACCUCGGUUGCCCGUCGUGUGCGUUCGUCGCGCAUCGAGGGCUCGAAAGAAUGCUCGGCUCCGGCUGGGCUUUCAACGCGACCCCAGGUCAGGCGGGGUUACCCGCUGAAUUUAAGCAUAUCAAUAAGCGGAGGA